CUUCACUUCACAUUUUAAAUCACCCUUGGGUUCAUCUACUGGAAAUUAUUGUUCUAGAGGUGAGAUGUGUAACUGAUUUUUGGGGGUGGAUAAUUUCAAGUAGAAUAUAGCCCAGUAUAAAAUUUAAAUACAAUCAAAAGAAGUGCAUCUGGAUAGUUUUUAGUUCCUGUCUUGAAAAUACAAUAUGAAGCUAUUUUUCCUGUCUCUCUUGGUAUGAACUGAGUUUUAAAUGUUUAUUUCAGAAACAUCAAGGGCUCCAACUGGCGACAGCAUGGAUGUAUUUCCAAUGCCUAUGUCCAAAUUUCAGAAAUGUGUCCUUAAAAAGCUGGUGGAGAUCAUGCAGGAGGUCAAGAGAAUUGGAAGUGCAGAACCUAGUAAUUCAACAUACCACAUUAGAAGAAUGGAGACGAUAGAGGAGCUGAAUGCCUUGGAGGAGAAGCUGCAAAAUAAUGAAGAGAGACAUGUUCUGAUUACCCAGUUGAGUAAAGUAGGAGGCAAACAUAUCAG